rnacentral:lncRNA from 1 species
ACAGAAUGUAAGAGCAGCUGAGAGGAAUCCCUCACUCCUGUACUGAAUAUCUCAACCACUACUGCAGGUCUUUGCAUAUGCAAUCUACUAAAGAAGAAAAACUCACAAAGUUAGAUUCACAUUUUUAAAUUUGCAUUUUUAAAAACUUUUGGGUGUGGUGCUGACAACUUGUUGCGUUUUCAUUUGUGUCCUCCCUGGAAGUGAGGCACUCAGUGAGACACAGAAUAACAGAAUGACCCCGGUUGGAAAGGACCUCAAGGAUCAUGAAGCUCCAACCCCCCCUGCCACAGGCAGGGCCACCAACUUCCACGUUUAAUACUGGACCAGGCUACCCAGGGCCCCAUGCAACCUGGCCUUAAUCGUCGAGGUUCGCUGCUUCGGAGCUGUCCCAGCCAGAACUGCAGUGACUGACCACGAGUGGCAGGGAAGGAUACUGAGAGACACCACAUAAGCAGAAGCUUGAUUUUCUUACUGACAGUAAAGACUCUCAUUAUUAGUAUCACAUUUUUCAUUAGCAGCAUGAGAACUCAUGUCGCAGCAGUGCUUCAUCAAUAUUCAGUUCUUAUGUGUUGGUACUCCAAAAUCAUAAAGUUUAAAGACUCCGUCCCACAAUCUAGAGUCACACAGUUGCAGUGGUGGGAUCUGGGAAAUAAGACACGUAAGAUGCAGCACAAAGAAGAUCUACAGAACACUAUUGAGAAGUCCUCCCCUUCCAUCCUCCAUGGCCUGCUCUGCUCUGGGCAUCUGUGAAAACUGGCUGCUUCCUCUCUUCCUGAGCAAGUCUCUGUGCCAAGGACCAGGUGGACAGGUAAC